GGGGGUAUAGCUCAAUUGGUGGAGCAUUGCCUUUGCAAGGCAGGGGUUAGCGGUUCGAGUCCGCUUAUCUCCA
rnacentral:tRNA from 1 species